GAUGAACGCUGGCGGCGUGCCUAAUACAUGCAAGUCGAGCGAACAGACGAGGAUCUUGCUCCUCUGACGUUAGCGGCGGACGGGUGAGUAACACGUGGAUAACCUACCUAUAAGACUGGGAUAACUUCGGGAAACCGGAGCGAAUACCGGAUAAUAUAUUGAACCGCAUGGUUCAAUAGUGAAAGACGGUUUUGCUGUCACUUAUAGAUGGAUCCGCGCCGCAUUAGCUAGUUGGUAAGGUAACGGCUUACCAAGGCAACGAUGCGUAGCCGACCUGAGAGGGUGAUCGGCGACACUGGAACUGAGACACGGUCCAGACUCCUACGGGAGGCAGCAGUAGGGAAUCUUCCGCAAUGGGCGAAAGCCUGACGGAGCAACGCCGCGUGAGUGAUGAAGGUCUUCGGAUCGUAAAACUCUGUUAUUAGGGAAGAACAAAUGUGUAAGUCACUAUGCACGUCUUGACGGUACCUAAUCAGAAAGCCACGGCUAACUACGUG
rnacentral:rRNA from 1 species